rnacentral:rRNA from 1 species
GAUGAACGCUGGCGGCGUGCUUAACACAUGCAAGUCGAACGGAAAGGCCCAAGCUUGCUUGGGUACUCGAGUGGCGAACGGGUGAGUAACACGUGGGUGAUCUGCCCUGCACUUCGGGAUAAGCCUGGGAAACUGGGUCUAAUACCGGAUAGGACCACUUCUUGGAUGUUGUGGUGGAAAGUUUUUUCGGUGUGGGAUGAGCUCGCGGCCUAUCAGCUUGUUGGUGGGGUAAUGGCCUACCAAGGCGUCGACGGGUAGCCGGCCUGAGAGGGUGUACGGCCACAUUGGGACUGGGAUACGGCCCAGACUCCUACGGGAGGCAGCAGUGGGGAAUAUUGCACAAUGGGCGCAAGCCUGAUGCAGCGACGCCGCGUGGGGGAUGACGGCCUUCGGGUUGUAAACUCCUUUCGCUAGGGACGAAGCGUUUUGUGACGGUACCUGGAGAAGAAGCACCGGCUAACUACGUG